UGAUAAAUUAAAACCAAAAAGGUUUGCGGUGCAAUUUUGCAAUUUGAUUUUUUCAUUAUUAAAAUUGGCGAAAUUUUCGACGCAUGAUAUGCAGCGGACACUGUGAACUACAGAAUGAAUAAAGAUACGUAAGCUAUCUAAAAUUUUUUAGCUAAAAUGGAAUAAAUGCCAUCGUGUGAAAACAUAUUUCGAGAAGAUGUAUUCUGAGUGGCCUCAAAUAAAUUGUAUAUGUACCAAAAAGUGUGAGGCAAUACGUGAAGAACAAUGCGAAGCAAGCACAAGUAAAGGUAGAAAGAAAUUGAAAUACACGGAAAGUAGUGAUCGUACUAACUAGUCACAAAUACAUCAGCUGAACAAAUGGAAUGCGCUGCCGACAUUAUAAAUAAUCAGUCAAAUGAAACCAAUAAGCAUUUGUCAAAUGACCAGGCACUGGCAUUAUUUUAUGAUCUUGGUCUAUCAGUUAGGAUAUAUAAUAAGCUGCGAUCUGUUGUUAAUAGCAUUCACGAGGACUUUUUCCUAACUACUAUGAAUUAGUGAAAUUAAAAGACGCGUUAUUACCUUGCCCAGUUAUUGUUACAGAAACGUUAGCAGAAGUGCCUUUGCGCUUUCUCUUUAAAUAUUAUAUUAAAAAUUUUGAAGUAGAUGUAUCGUAUAAAAUGCAUUUAACAAUGAUCGAUGGUGCUGUUGCAAACGUUUCAGCGCAAAUAGAACUUGCAACAGUUGCAGUUUACAGAAAUAAAACUGGGACGGAACAUUGAAUGACGGCAAUACUGCACGUCGUUGUUUUUGUUUUUCAAAUAUUAAAAUGUCGGCAAAAAUUAUUUCUGUGAAUAUACAAUUAAUAAAAUAUUUUAGUUUAAUUUUACAAAUGCUAGCUUGAGGAGAAAAAAUAAAUAUACAAUUGUUUAGGGAACUUUUGAAAGAGAGUUAUGAAAAUUACACUGUACAUUUCUCAUGGUUUUAUAUGCCAAAAAUGUCCACAAAAUACUCGUUCAUGGAUGUGAUAUUACAAACGAGUUCAAUAUUCCAAUUGGGUUACUUUCUGAAGACACACUACAAACCAGGCAUAAAGAAUUUCAAAAAUUGCGCUUACAAAAUAUGCGUAAGAA